rnacentral:rRNA from 1 species
AUUGAACGCUGGCGGAAUGCUUUACACUUGCAAGUCGAACGGCAGCACGGACUUCGGUCUGGUGGCGAGUGGCGAACGGGUGAGUAAUGUAUCGGAACGUGCCCAGUCGUGGGGGAUAACGUAGUGAAAAUUACGCUAAUACCGCAUACGAUCUAUGGAUGAAAGCGGGGGAUCGCAAGACCUCGCGCGAUUGGAGCGGCCGCUAUCAGAUUAGGUAGUUGGUGGGGUAAAGGCACACCAAGCCAACGAUCUGUAGCUGGUCUGAGAGGACGACCAGCCACACUGGAACUGAGGCACGGUCCAGACUCCUACGGGAGGCAGCAGUGGGGAAUUUUGGACAAUGGGCGAAAGCCUGAUCCAGCCAUUCCGCGUGCAGGAUGAAGGCCCUCGGGUUGUAAACUGCUUUUGUACAGAACGAAAAGGUUUCUACUAAUACUAGGAGCUCAUGACGGUACUGUAAGAAUAAGCACCGGCUAACUACGUGCCAGCAGCCGCCGCCG